CAGUAGCCACGGUAAUACGAGGGGGGCAAGCGUUGUUCGGAAUUAUUGGGCGUAAAGGGUGCGUAGGCGGUUUGAUAAGUCUUGUGUGAAAUCUCUGGGCUCAACCCAGAGUCUGCACAGGAAACUGUCGGGCUUGAGUAUUGGAGAGGUGAGUGGAAUUUCCGGUGUAGCGGUGAAAUGCGUAGAUAUCGGAAGGAACACCUGUGGCGAAAGCGGCUCACUGGACAAUUACUGACGCUGAUGCACGAAAGCUAGGGGAGCAAACAGGAUUAGAUACCCCGGUAGUCCCUGUCUCUUAUAC
rnacentral:rRNA from 1 species